UUCCUACGGGGGGCAGCAGUGAGGAAUAUUGGUCAGUGGGCGGGAGCCUGAACCAGCCAAGCCGCGUGAAGGAAGAAGGCGCCAGGCGUCGUAAACUUCUUUUGUCGGGGAACAAAGGGCGCCACGCGUGGCGUUGUGAGUGUACCCGAAGAAAAAGCAUCGGCUAACUCCGUGCCAGCAGCCGCGGUAAUACGGAGGAUGCGAGCGUUAUCCGGAUUUAUUGGGUUUAAAGGGUGCGUAGGCGGUCCGUUAAGUCAGCGGUAAAAUUGCGGGGCUCAACCCCGUCGAGCCGUUGAAACUGGCAG
rnacentral:rRNA from 1 species